rnacentral:pre_miRNA from 1 species
AGUGCAAUUGCUAGGUUAUAUGGUAAUAGCAUGUUUAGUUUUAAAAGAAACUACCAAACUGUUUUCCAGUGCGGUUGUAUCAUUUUACAUUCCCACCAGCAGU